rnacentral:rRNA from 1 species
GAUGAACGCUAGCGGCAGGCCUAACACAUGCAAGUCGAGGGGUAGAAGCUUUCGGGCUUUGAGACCGGCGCACGGGUGCGUAACGCGUAUGCAAUCUGCCUUGUACUGAGGGAUAGCCCAGAGAAAUUUGGAUUAACACCUCAUAGUAUUUUUGCCUGGCAUCAGGUGAUUAUUAAAGGUUACGGUACAAGAUAAGCAUGCGUCCCAUUAGCUAGUUGGUAUGGUAACGGCAUACCAAGGCUACGAUGGGUAGGGGUCCUGAGAGGGAGAUCCCCCACACUGGUACUGAGACACGGACCAGGCUCCUACGGGAGGCAGCAGUGAGGAAUAUUGGUCAAUGGGCGCAAGCCUGAACCAGCCAUGCCGCGUGCAGGAUGAAGCAUCUAUGGUGUGUAAACUGCUUUUGUACGGGAAGAAACACUGCUACGUGUAGCAGCUUGACGGUACCGUAAGAAUAAGGAUCGGCUAACUCCGUGCCAGCCGCCGCCGUAACAC